UACGUAGGCAGCAAGCGUUGUUCGGAGUUACUGGGCGUAAAGAGUAUGUAGGCGGUGUCCUAAGUUCGGUGUGAAAUCUCCCGGCUCAACUGGGAGGGUGCGCCGAAGACUGGGAUGCUGGAGUCUCGGAGAGGAACGCGGAAUUCCUGGUGUAGCGGUGAAAUGCGUAGAUAUCAGGAGGAACACCAGUGGCGAAGGCGACUUACUGGACACAUAUUGACGCUGAGGUGCGAAAGCGUGGGGAGCAAACAGG
rnacentral:rRNA from 1 species